rnacentral:rRNA from 1 species
UUCACUUUGAGAUGAGCCUGCGGCGUAUUAGCUAGUUGGUGGGGUAAAGGCCUACCAAGGCGACGAUGCGUAGCCGACCUGAGAGGGUGAUCGGCCACACUGGGACUGAGACACGGUCCAAACUCCUACGGGAGGCAGCAGUGAGGAAUAUUGGUCAAUGGACGAGAGUCUGAACCAGCCAAGUAGCGUGAAGGAUGACUGCCCUAUGGGUUGUAAACUUCUUUUAUACGGGAAUAAAGUGGAGUAUGCAUACUCCUUUGUAUGUACCGUAUGAAUAAGGAUCGGCUAACUCCGUGCCAGCAGCCGCGGUAAUACGGAGGAUCCGAGCGUUAUCCGGAUUUAUUAGGUUUAAAGGGAGCGUAGGCGGGUGCUUAAGUCAGUUGUGAAAGUUUGCGGCUCAACCGUAAAAUUGCAGUUGAUACUGGGCGCCUUGAGUGCAGCAUAGGUAGGCGGAAUUCGUGGUGUAGCGGUGAAAUGCUUAGAUAUCACGAAGAACUCCGAUUGCGAAGGCAGCUUACUGGACUGUAACUGACGCUGAUGCUCGAAAGUGUGGGUAUCAAACAGGAUUAGAUACCCUGGUAGUCCACACAGUAAACGAUGAAUACUCGCUGUUGGCGAUACACAGUCAGCGGCCAAGCGAAAGCAUUAAGUAUUCCACCUGGGGAGUACGCCGGCAACGGUGAAACUCAAAGGAAUUGACGGGGGCCCGCACAAGCGGAGGAACAUGUGGUUUAAUUCGAUGAUACGCGAGGAACCUUACCCGGGCUUAAAUUGCAGCGGAAUGUAGUGGAAACAUUACAGCCUUCGGGCCGCUGUGAAGGUGCUGCAUGGUUGUCGUCAGCUCGUGCCGUGAGGUGUCGGCUUAAGUGCCAUAACGAGCGCAACCCUUAUCUAUAGUUACUAUCAGGUCAUGCUGAGGACUCUAUGGAGACUGCCGUCGUAAGAUGUGAGGAAGGUGGGGAUGACGUCAAAUCAGCACGGCCCUUACGUCCGGGGCUACACACGUGUUACAAUGGGGGGUACAGAAGGCAGCUACCUGGCGACUGGAUGCUAAUCCCUAAAACCUCUCUCAGUUCGGAUUGGAGUCUGCAACCCGACUCCAUGAAGCUGGAUUCGCUAGUAAUCGCGCAUCAGCCACGGCGCGGUGAAUACGUUCCCGGGCCU